UGAGGCAGGAGAAUUGCUUGAACCCAGGAGGUGGAGGCUGCAGUGAGCCGAGAUCGGACCACUGCACUCCAGCCUGGGCGACACAGCGAGACUCCGCCUAA
rnacentral:miRNA from 1 species